CGCGCUCCCGCCGAGGCGGCGGUUGCCGGGCAGCGGCGGGGCGCGAUGAGGCAGAGGAGGCCGAAGGGGCUCGCCGCGAAGGCGGGGGGGUCCCGCCGGAGGAGAGGUGCCGGCGAGGCGGCCGCCUCCACGAGCCUGCCGCCGCUGGUGCAGGGCCCGCCGCGCUGCUUCCUCCGCUGCACCGUGGGCCCAGCGCUGUGGGCGCUGCCCGAGCCGCCCGCCGCCCUCCUCGUCCGCCUGAGGUGGUGGGGGGAGACCUCGGACGGGACCCUGCUGCAGCCGGAGCGGGCAGCGGCGAAGGCCUCGGCCCGCUACGCCGUCCGCUGCGGGCCGCGGCAGCUCGCUGCCUACCUCACAGAUAUGGGUGUGCUUGUCCUAGAAGUAAUGACCAGACUUGACCAUCUCCCAAUUGGCACAGUUCAAAUUACUGGACUGUCCCAGCUCUCUCCCAGCCAUCCAAUCAGUGGAUUUUUCACCAUAGUUUCACCAACAUCUGAUAAACUAGGAGAGCUGCAGGUCUCACUAGUUUUAGAACCCCUGUCUGAAAUGUGUGACGCCCACAGCUUUAUCCCAACUGCAGAUGCAAGUUCAGAUAUUGCUCCUUCUGCCCAGGGAAGCAGCAAGCCCCAGCUUCUUGGUCCGUCACAGCAAUCCAGGCAAGCAGGGGUGACUACUGCUAGCCAAGAGUCUCUGAACAAUAGUAGAGCCACAACUCCCAGAGGAAAAGACCGUUUGUUCUUUCAAGAGAAUUCUGAAAACAUAAAGGAUAUUUAUUCUGCUUCUCACCACCAUCUGAUUUUACCAGAUGAGCAUUUAAAAGCAAAACCUUCAGAUCGGCAAGUGUCAUUUCCCUCAAGCACUGAUCCUGAAACACCCGCUAGAACAAACAUGCGGGUGCUCUCUUUGCAUAACCCGACUACAAAAGACCUGCUUUCAGCUCUUUUGGAUCAAGGCAGUAAACUCCGUGAUGCCAUGGUUGUUUCUGCAAUGAAGUCUACUCCCGACAUGGAAAUUGAACUGAAUGAAAUGCCUCCAUCUAUAAAUACAGAUGGUUUCAAAGCAAAAACAAAGAGCCCCAAAAGCCUGAAAUCAGAUUUUUUGUCCUCCUCUGAAGAUCCCCAUCUCUUCUCAUCUGAAGUCUCAGGUCAGCAAUUUGACCUGAACUCUGAAGAGAGAGCGGUACAGUUACUGUUGGGCAGUGUGGAUUUAUCUCCUGUGCAUUUCUGGGAUAGAACAAGUUCCCUUCUGGAUUCUCUGUCUGUUGGGAGUGAGGUGUAUGACAGUGAACUCAACGAUCCCCAUUAUGACCAGAGUCUACUGGAGAAUCUCUUUUACACAGGUCCUAAAUCUGAUUCCAGUUUAAGUGAUUUCCUCAGUGAUGAUAAUGAUAACUCAUCCAAAAAAGUAACCAAGGCAAAAACUCUCAAGAAAGAUGAUUCUAUGAACUUUCAGGGUCCACAAAAGGAAUCUAGUGCCUGUGAUCAGGAGGUGAAGGAGACAGAAAUUAAACUCAGCUGCUCUGCUACUAGACAACUUGCGCCUUCGGAAGCUUGUCUCACAUCCCUGAGUGUAGAUAGGCUGGCACUGCUGGGGCGAAUACACUUAGCCAGGGUCAUUAUUGAAAGCCUGAAAAUCCCUCCAGAGAGCACACAGAUUACACCAGGAAAGAAAAGCGUAGUUGGGAAGCCUCCAAGACCUGCAUCAGUUAAAAAGUGUACCUUCUUUGUUGAGUACCACUUUCCUGUGGGAGCCUCCAAGGAUGAAAAAGGACAGGUCUCCCUAACAACAGAAGUAAUUCGAAUAGCUUCAAGUAAAAUUACAGGCGAUGUGGUAAAAUUUCAACAGCGGUUUGUGUUCCCCAUUCAUUUUGGUGGAGUGAUGAUAGAGCACUGGUGGAGCUCUAACCUUGCUUUUAAAAUCUACAUGAGAAAAAGCACACAGAAAAAGCCAGUGGCCAUUGGCUCAGCAGUCCUUCAGUUAUGUAAGGUUAUUCAGUCUGAGCAGCUCACUGUCAGCUGUGAAAUACCUGUGGAAGAAGAAGGAAAUCAGACCCAAGUUGGACCACUUAAGGUGUCGUUAGAGCUUGCGGCUGACAAUAAAGACUUCACCUGCACCGCGGCUAGGUCAGCCAUGGCUGUGCAGCGAGUCCCAGCUCAUGCCGUAAGAAGUCCCCGGCUGGAGUUCCAGGAGCCCGACAGGAGUAAAGUAAACGCAGAAAGCCCUCGCAGUCUGCAACUUAGCAGUCAUGGAAACUCACAGAAGACAGGAGCGGCCAGCACGAAGAUUCUGCAGUUACCCCAGGCCGUGUCAGCCUCUGUGUCCCGUAAUCUGAUGGCACAAAUAACGGCAUGUGAAGAGGACGGGCUGUUACUGCAUGUGCUGUUGAUGGUGCCUGCUGGAAAAGGUUUUGUCACUGGAGAAUAUGGUUAUCACGGUUCGUGUAAUGUGUAUCUAAACUGCAAGCUACUUAGCACAGAGGAGGCAACGAGAUCUGCUGUUAUAUGGGGCACAACGCAACCUGCCUUUAACUUUUCUCAGGUGAUGCCUUUUUCAUUGACUUCCAAACAUUUGGAGCGACUGAAGAACAACUUCAUGAUUAUUGAGGCAUGGAACAAGAUGGGAAACCCUGGCUGCGACAAACUGCUAGGAUUAGUGAAGCUUCCUCUGCAUCAGUUUUACAUAUCAUUCAAGGAUGCAAAGAUUUCCCGUCUGCUGCUUCAAGCUCAGUAUCCAGUGGUUGCUGUGGACAACUAUAUGCCUGUGAUAGAUGUUUUUACUGGCAGUAAAAGUGGAAGCUUGAAGGUCAUUUUGGCUAUGGGGUCAGCAGAUCAAAUAGUGGAACUGCAAAGGCUGAAGAACGAAGAAGGAAUGGUACCUCCCAUCGCGCAGCGUCCUGCUCACUCUCUGGACCCUCCUCCUACAAAGCCCACAAUGCAGUUAGGUAGAGAAGGGGAAGAACUGAUGGAGCACGUGUUUGAGAUCCGUGUGGAAAGUGUGAAAGGACUCACUCCCUUACAGUCCACAGUUUGGGGAGAAGCUGACUGCUACAUACAGUACCAUUUCCCAGUGCAAGAGGCUAGCUAUGGUGCAUCACAAGGAACUGAACAGCACGAGGAUGGUAUCAAGCUAAAGGCUUUUCGUACAGCAACUACGUUGUGCGUCCCUGAUCCCAUCUUUCAUGAUGAGCAUCAUCAUUCCGUGUUGGUUCCUGCCGAUGUCCCAGUCCAGAGGCUCCUGGUCAGUGCAUUUAUGACACCUGGAAUGUCUGGAGGAGGAAUUCAAUUUGAAGUCUGGUGCAGGUAUUAUUAUCCAAAUGUCAGAGACCAGAUGGUUGCCAAAGGGACCUUGCCUUUGUCACGGCUGUGUGCCAUGGUGACUAUGCAGCAUCGUGAAGAAAUAGGGAUACAGACCUUUAAUCUUCCAUUGGUCUCAAGGACUGAUUCCUCAGAGGAAUUUCAAUUGCGAUCAUUGGGGUUGCUUGAUGUGAGCGUGAGAUACCGAUGUUCCAUGAAAACAGCAGCAGGAAUAAUAAGAGCUCAAGCUAUUUCUCUUUCUGUACAGAUCCACAGAGCAGCUGGUUUGCAAGCAGCAGCCAGAGCUGUUGCAGAAAAGAACCCUUCCCUUCAGUACUAUGCAGGUGUGGGAGUUAAUACCUAUGUCUCUGUGCACCUCUCUUUCCUACCGGAGAGGGAGAGACGUAACACGCGAGCUGUGGCUCAUAGUUUCUGCCCAGAGUUCAAGGACCACAUAGAGUUCCCGUGUAACCUCAUCAUUCAGAAAAGUAGCGGGGAAGCCUCUUCUUUGGGGGAACUCUUGCAGUCUGCCAGUGUCAUCUUCUCUAUCUAUCAUCAGAGCAUCAAGUCAGGCACUGACACAUUAGCAGCACAGACAUCAAGAGAUUGUCUCCUUGGGACAGUCACAGUUCCAACCAGAGACCUGCUGAGAAGAAGAUCAGGUAUUACAGGCUGGUACCCAGUUACCCUCUCUGAGGACUUAGUGCCUUCUCGUUGCACAGACAUCAUGCAGACUGUUGUGGGAGGACUGGAGCUUUCUGUAACUUUUGCUCACCACGAUGAUAGAGAGCGUGUUUUGGAGGCUGCUAAGCUUUUAGGCUGGUACAGUGAGGAGAACCACAAAGACAGUAUGGAUGAUAGUGACGAUAGUGACGAAUGGGAGCAGAGUGAGAAUCCAGCAAUCGUGACUAUUUCUACCCCAAGAGUGUGGCUGCCAGUCCACUGUGUGCUGCUUGCAGGCCAGACACAUCUGCAUGAAAGUACUUAUUGCUACCUCAGGUAUAAGCUGUAUAAUCAGGAAGCCAUGUGGACUUUGCUUAGGAAACCAAAACUGAGUGAUGACAAAAAGAACAUUACAGUGAACUUUAAGAAACCAAACAGGAUGAAUCUCAGAAGGAGCCAAGGGCUGCAUUGGUUCUUCAGAGAGGAGAAGUUAGAAAUCCAGGUGUGGUGGGCAUAUGGUAAAGAGAAUGAUGUGGAAAGACCACUUGAUACAGAUCGUCUUAUUGGAUCUGCCUACGUCGACCUCACAGUGUUAGCAGAGAGGUCAAGGAAAACACUAAGUGUUAGCGGGGUUUAUCCGCUGUUCAGAUGCAAUGCUGCAAACCUAGCAGGAGCUGCUGUACGUGUUCAUGUUGCGCUUUCUUCCACUUAUGCUACCCUGACCAGCAGACUUCGCUGUGCUGAGGAAAGCAGUAGUGAAGAUGAAGCCACAGAGAAGGCAUCGGAUGUGAACCAACAGCGCUCUGAAAAUCAGAAUCAGAAAUUGGAUAUUGUAAAUUCAGAAGUCAUUAAAGAGAAACCAUCUGAAGAAGACUUGGUGUCUCUGGAAAACACAGUUGCUAUGACUAUCCUUGUGGAAAGAGCAAUGCAUCUAAGUUUAAAAGGGAGUCCUUUAACAGAACGUGGAGUAACAGCACCUAGUAGCUAUGUAUCAUUUGCCGUUGCUGAUGCAGAUGCUCCGGUAACCACUUCGGUAGUAGAAAAUACAGACUCACCAGUGUGGGACUUUCAGCAACAAGCAAGAUUGUCCAAAGAACUUCUCUUGGAUCCCCAGCAAACCUUGGUCUUCAAAGUGUGGCAUAAAGCAGAGACUGAGCGAGUAAUAGGAUUUGCAUCUGUGGACCUCUCCCCUCUUCUCUCUGGCUUCCAGCUAGUGUGCGGGUGGUACAAUAUUACAGACUUCAGCGGACAGUGCCGAGGGCAGAUCAAAGUAGCAGUUUCCCCUCUUCAAAGUAUAACUAACCUCAAAGAAGAAAGACAGGCAAGGAUCCGGACCCAGCCACCAAAUUCUUCAGUGAAGGUCAGCUUUGCAACACUUCCCAGCAAUGCUACAAGUAUUUCCAAGCAGACGUUGAAAACCUUGUCAAAUGAAGUCAAUGUUCCUCCCCGAGAGCGCAGAAUUAGUACCCCUGGGACACACACACCUCGUCAUGAAGAACACAUGCAGAAUGUGCGCAGAUUUCAUGAAUCCUUGCAGCAAGCAGAAGGGAACGUACACCGGGCAGCAAAGAUGGACUCAUCGUCACUGUCGUCACGGACUGCUCUUCUGUCUGCUCUCAGGAAAAACUUGAAUGAGCUGGAUGAGGUUCAAAAAUACUUCAACCAGAAGCUGACCAGGUCUUUUCCUGACUUCAGUUAUGGUAAUACAUCCAAAUCAAGUUGUGAAGAGCAGGAGGGUGAUCACCAAGGCUUGAUGAGCAGAGCCGUGGAUCCCAAUGGGUGUCAUCUUUUGGAAAAAUCUAGUCAGUUGGUGUCUCAGGUCAGCAGCCUAAUCAAUGACUUACAGACUAUAACUAAAAAUACAAAAGAAUCUUCUAAUGUGCAUCACGACUACAGCAGAAACCUAGGUGCUACACAUGUACCCAGGCAAAAAGAUGAAGAAGCCAGAAAUGAAGAAUAUCGAAUUCGACUUGAGUUGCAAUCACCCAGUGUUUGCAGUGAUGUGCAGCAGCCGUACUCUUUGGGGAGAUGCAGGUUUGAAAGAGAGAUGUUGCAUGAAUUUCUAGACCAAGCCGUCCCUGAAGACGAGCAUCCUUUGGCAACGGACCGUAUCCAGGAAGAUGAAGGCGCUUUUGCCAUCCGUUCACACAGUGAAGACGAGUAUGAAGAAGACGUCAUAGAACCACGAACUCUUAAUGAAAUAACAACCAUAACGGACAAAACUAGUCCCUGGUCCAGUGUGAUAUCCGAAGUGGAGCCGAGUGCUGAUCAACAGUCCAUAGACCUGAGGCCUGACGAUCAGCACUUGGUGAAUAUAGAUUGUUUGCGAAAAGGAACCAGCAGACGGAGCAGCACGUUGUCCAGCAUACCACAGAGUGACAACGAGAGCAUACUCACCACUCUUACACCAUGCAUUAGCCCCCGUGCAGAAGAGAGCAGUGCUUGGGCAGUAACAGAUGGCUUUAACAGCUUGAGUAGUGGCACAGAAAUGACUAAGAAGGAGUUUCAACCUGCUCGUUUGUCAGAAGAGCACCAGACAGCUGAUGGCCCAGUAGAAAAUGAGAAUUGUGAUUGUGAUAGAAUAUUUGAAACUAAACAAAUGGAGCAAAAUGAAGAAUUUUAUGAAGCCUCCAAAGAGGUAUUGAGGUUUCCAGGAGACAUUGCUUUGACCAAUUCAAAAACUACAGAGAGCCAGAAGGAAAACAGUGAGGAUUUAGAUGAAGAUCAUCGAGGUGAGGAAGAAAGUGGUUCUGACGAAAUACCUGUGAUGCCUGUAUCUGCCCAAGCAGGCUCUGAAGGAAGCAGUGGAAGCUUUUCUGAUGAGAGUCACGAAGACCCACUAGAAGAGUCAGAAAAAUCUGUGAAAUCAAAAAUCAUUUUAUCUGAUCCUGUUGUUCUUCCCAACUUUUUCCUUCCACCCCAGCAGAUGGAAGCCUCCAUGCGAAUGCUCAGCGCUUCUUCUCAGCCUCCCACAGCUCUGAAGAGCGGAAGCGGGGCUGCGCUGCAGGGAAUUCCCUACCGGAGCCUGAACCGUCACAGGCCAAACCUGCCCUUGGCUGAUCUCCCGGAGGAGGAAACCGAAAGAAUCGCCAGGAUUUUCUCCGCUCGCCUGUCCAAGAAGGAGUAGGGCCGCGCAUGGGGCUGCUUCCCAGCCGCCGCUCGCGCCCGAUGCGGGCAAACGCCGGCUCCUCCCAGGCGGACGAGGUGGCGUGAGCAGGCUGGUGAAGCCGUGCCGAGGCCGGGAGCUCUUCCUGCCCAGGAAAGCCGGGACCAGCUGCCGAAGAGGAUCCUGUUCGGGCUUAUUUUUCAUGCCACCGCGUGACCCGGCUGGAUGCCAGGGAGCCCCGCGCUCACCCAAGGCAGGAGGCAAAUGUCAGCGGGGGCCAAACGGAGCCGGCUCCGGGGACGCGAGUUCAGCGGGUUCCUCGCUUGCAGCUGGGUGAGCACAGGAAAACGCAGCAGGAGGCAGCCCGGCCGCAGGAUGCGUUUGCCAGAUGCUCACGACUCAGCCUGUAAAUAGCCGAAUUUUAUCCCUGCUUGACAUCUCUUCCCGCGCCCCUUGCCGGGGUGGUCCUGCCUGCAGAGGAGUGCCGUAGCCGUAAGCUAAAAACU